GUUGUUCAGGCUCUUUGCCCAGGGAAAAUGAAAAGGAUUAGAAACAGAAAAAAAAAAUCCUAUUUUCUUUUAACACAAAACCCAGAGAGGAAAACCUCGACAGAGACCACCACCCAGAUCUUCCAUUCUUAUAGUCCGUAUAGCUACCGUUGGCUGCAUUGCUAUUUUCUAUCUUGCAUCUUCUUUCUUUUCCACAGAGGAGUUCUUUUAUUCCACCACUGGAACAAGUAUACAGAGCAAAAAUGCUAAGCGAUUCUGAGAAAGUAUGCGUAUUGGGGCAAUAGAAUUGACUGUCCUGGGAAGUACUGUGAGUCCUGUGAAGGCCUUGGCCACCUAGAGUCCAGCCUCAGGUGUGCUCUUGAGGAAGCAAUGUAUCUUCAGAGGUUUUAAUCAUGGUAAUCAUUCAAGUUCAUGGAGUGCAGGGAUCAGAAUAACCGUAGUGCUAUUCUCUUGUCAUAUUCUUUUCUUCCUUCAAUGGCUGGCAAGAAGUUGAAGAUUGCAACAGAAAAGGAUGGAAAUUCACUUUAGCAAGUUUAUUUUUCCUAGAUGAAAUUUGAAGGCCGUGUUACAUGAAUAACCGAGCAGUGUUGCGAGUUCUCUUAGGGGAGUAUACAGUUUAAGCAUUGCUAUCGCGAGGCCAAUAAGGUUGCGGAUGUUCUAGCCAAUGUGGGGUGUGCCUUGGUUGAAUCGGUAUGUAUUUAUGAACAUUUGAGGGAUUUACCAGGUGUAGUUAGGGGUGAAUAUCGGUUGGAUAAACUAUCUUACCCGUCUAUUCGGCGACGUCGACUUAAGUAAGUAUGUGUCUUGUACUUGUCUUGUAUCAUUGAGGUCAGGCUUCUGUCCCCCUCAAAAACUGUUCUAAGGCAAUAAAAUCCAAGCAUCUUGGUUUAAAAAAAAUAAAUAAUCGCAAAAAAAAA